GUAGUCUGCAACUCGACUACAUGAAGCUGGAAUCGCUAGUAAUCGCGAAUCAGCAUGUCGCGGUGAAUACGUUCCCGGGUCUUGUACACACCGCCCGUCACACCAUGGGAGUCGGAAACGCCCGAAGCCAGUGACCCAACCGAUAAAACGGAGGGAGCUGUCGAAGGUGGGGCCGGUAACUGGGGUGAAGUCGUAACAAGGUAGC
rnacentral:rRNA from 1 species